rnacentral:lncRNA from 7 species
UUUCUGUCUCAAUCAUUUCUUUCAUGAUAUUCUUUGGGAAAUAUAUUUCAUUCAUCUCUGCCCUAUGAGCAGUGUACAGCAGUUUAGGAGCCGUGCUGACCUUUCCUAGCACCAAGGAAGAUUGCAGAGUGCAGGAGCUUCAUUUUCCUCUUGCAGAGGAUUGUAGCAGUUUGGUGGAUUCCUGUGGGGACAGGCUUGGGAUGUCUGCAGGCUGCCCCAGCUGAGAGCAGGUCAGAGGGAUGCAGCACCCCAGCACGCUCUUCCCCUUUUAGGGAAGGCAGUAGAUAUGGAAAGAGAAGAAAGUCAUUUUUCUCCAGAGCUACAGAGGCUUGCUAUUGAGUUCCCGCAAGGCUGAGUGAAGCUAAACACGUUGUGGCCAUACAGGUCAUGGAACAGUCUUGUUCUGGAUUUUUCCUCAAAGGGAAACUUCCCAAGAAAGCUGCUGGGGCCCCAGCUGUCUCUCCUCACAGGUUGAACACUGUGCACUCCAGCAGUUUAGCCUCUCUAGUCUGUGGUACCUGAGAGAUGAAAUCCAGUGCUGGGUGGUGGGGAAGGCAGGAUGGAGUUACCUGCAUGCCUGUGAGCCCCUGCACUGCAUCAUGCAUGUAGCAGGGACAGUCUUCUGGCAUGGCUGGGCACAACCAUUGUUCAGGGGUGGGCAGAGCUUGCUGUGUGGCUCAAGGACUGUCUUGACUGCUGGACAUGUGCAUGGCCUGGGUGAGUCCCUCUUCCUGUGUUGUGCUCAAACAGCAUUUCUGGGCAAGGAGGUGAAGUUUGGGGAAACUCAGAAUGGGCAGUGCUAAGAACACCACAAGUGGGAUGAGCAGCAUUUGUGUGGGUGUUCACUGGCAUGUCUAAACUGUCCUUGCCUGGAGGACUGUAGGUGCAAGUACCUUCUUGGUUCCUGUUGUCCUGGCUCUCUGUUGUGGCCUUGUAUGUAUGUGAACGCUUGUUUAGUACUGAGUAAUUCCUGGUUCUGUGGGAUGAUGUGUAAAAUGGAGCUUAUCUCAGUUAUAGCUGAGCCCAAUUUACAUCUUUGCAGGGCUUACUCUGAAUACAUUUCUGGGACAUUUGAACUUCCUUCAAGAGCAAUUGUGAAAUUUCCUGUAACUAAUUUGAAAGCAGUAACCCCAUUGCUAGAUGGUGUUCAAAUGUUCUUGAAGAGCUUAGGUAGAACAACCAAUUUCUGGAGCAGUGUCAGGAUAUUGGCCAGGACUUUUUAUUGAAAAACAGUGUAUUCCUUAGUGGGACUGUGGGGUGCUUUUUUAUUUCAUGGUGGAAUGUGGCAUUUGAGAAUGGAGAUGUUGCCGUUGAAAGAUAAUUUUCUUAAUCACCUCUCAUCUCUGAAACAUACAGUAGGAACCCAAUCAUGGCUUGUGUUAGUGCACAAAAGUGUAGUUUUAUCAUGCUGAAGUUGUUUAUUGGAACAGUCAAAGUAGUUUUAUUGUGAAUGGGCUUUUUGCUGUAGGAUGGAAACUAUGAUUAAGUCUCAAGACAGUAAGAAGGGUUUGUGUGUAAUUCUUUAAGUACGCUCAUGGCACUCUCACAGUUUUCACUGAAAACUUCCUUAAUAACGCGUGGUCUGUUGAUUAUUUAAAAUCCUGGUCAAACAUUGUAAGAGUUAUAAAAACCUGAAGGAUUUAAAUAGUAUU